rnacentral:rRNA from 1 species
CAUGGGGGCGAAGCUCCAUUGGUCGAAAGGGAAACAGCCCAGAUCUCAAACUAAGGUCCCUAAAUCAGUGUUAAGUGUAGAAGGAAGUGGAGCGACGGAAACAACCAGGAGGUUGGCUUAGAAGCAGCCAUCCUUUAAAGAUAGCGUAACAGCUCACUGGUCAAGUUUCUCCGCACCGAAAAUGUACCGGGGCUAAACACUGUACCGAAGUUGAGGGUCCGGCCCGCAAGGGUUUGGGCGGUAGGGGAGCGUUUUCAACGCGUUGAAGUCGUACGGUGACGUACGGUGGAGUGUUGAGAAGUGAGAAUGUUGGCAUAAGUAGCAAAAAGACAGGUGAGAACCCUGUCCACCGGAAACCCGAGGUUUCCUGGGCAACGCAAAUCGACCCAGGGUUAGUCGGGAGCUAAGGCGAGGCCGAAAGGCGUAGUCGAUGCACAGCAGGUUAAUAUUCCUGCACCACGUCGUGUUUUCAACGGGGUCACGUUUUUCCACACGUCCCGCAUCCUAUGGCUAUGAUGUCAGGGGUGCGAAGGUGUCUGGUAGGUAAAUCCGCCAGACAUAAGCCAACGCACCGUCGCAAGGUUGUCGCAAGAUGAUCAAGGGGACGGAAGGAAGAACCAAGAAAAACCUCUAGAGCUAAGCGCGAUGUGCCCGUACCGCAAACCGACACAGGUGGGUGGGUAUAAAAGUACCAAGGUGUACGAGAGAACCAUCGUUUAGGAACUCGGCAAAAUAGCGGCCGUAACUUCGGGAUAAGGCCUGGUUGUCCUCGCGAGAGGACGACCCGCAGCUAAUGACGUCAAGCGACUGUUUAUCAAAAACACAGGUCCCUGCUAAACCGUAAGGUGAAGUAUAGGGGCUGAUGCCUGGCCAGUGUCCGAACGUUAAAGAAGGGGGUUAGCCGCCGCAAGGUGGCGAAGCUUUCGACUGAAGCGCGGAUGAACGCCGGCCGUAACUAUGAAUCCGUUGUAGUUGUGAGGUGCAACACCUCUACCGAACUUCGUAUGCCACGAAGAUGUAGGUAAAAAUUCGGCCAUAUGCUGGAAUAUCUGAGAAUCCACUGGUACCUUCAAGGUAACAAUCCAUGUGGUGCAGACAAUCAGCAGGAAAGACCCUAAGAGCAAUCAAAGGGAAUCCUCAGAGACUUUACGCCGAACUCGUCUCUUCUCUAAACUGGGGGAAGAGGUAGCGAGAUGAUAAAGUCCGAACUUGUAAGCGAUUACAAGCUCCGUAUUCCAAUCGGAGACUCAUAUUGUGAGUUAACACAUGAACGGUCCUAAGGUAGCGAAAUUCCUUGUCGGGUGAGUUCCGACCUGCACGAAUGGCAUAACGACUUGACGACUGUCUCAACGAUGGACUCGGCGAAAUUGCACUGUGAGUGAAGAUGCUCACUACUCGUAGUUAGACGAAAAGACCCCGUGAAGCUUUACUGUAGCUUGCUAUUGGGUUCAGGUUUUGCAUGUUCAGUGUAGGUGGGAGCUUCGGCGCCAAUGAGACACCACCCUUGCAUUUUUUGAAUCCUAACCGGUCUCCAUGAAUCUGGAGGCUAGGACAGUAGCUGGUUGACAGUUUGACUGGGGCGGUAGCCUUAACAAUUGAUUUCCUUACGCCGGAAAUCAUGGGGGCUUCAGGCAGGAAUGCUUGAAGAUUACCGCUGUUCCGUGGAAGUUUUUACUUCCACCCCAGAAUAUCCAAAAAGGAACAGAAUAUUUGGCUAUAUGCUGGAACCUCCUGGUAAGAUGUGAGUACGGAAACGUAAAAAUCUUGCAUCAGAUCGAAAGAUCACAGGACAAUCAGCAGGGAAGUCUUCGUGACCCCUCAACGACUACACGCCAAACACCUACAAAAGGUGAUGAUAUAGUCUGAUCUCUGGCGAGAGUCAGAGCCCAACGCAACCCAUGCGAAGGGAUCAAACCUAUCUUAUGUAU